ensembl:lncRNA
CUGUAACACAAACACCACAAUCAACACAAGUACUGCCAAUUCAGGCUUAGGCAACAACGAUAUGUACGCAGCUCCUACCUGCAACACCGGGGGAAGUCAGGUGACCGAAAGGAGACAACAGAGGUUGCUGCUUCCCACGGUUUGGACUCACCUGGAGCUGCGUUUUCUCUCUCCUCCUUGCCUGCCUGCCCACACUCUGGCUGUAGUGCUGCUGUCAGUGAAACCCUCUGCACUCUCGAAAUACCGUGGACCUCCCCUCCUCAGAGCUUUCAAAGCACAGACCUGCAAAGCCAAAUUACAGUGUGGCUGAUCAUGAGUUGUUGACAGUGAAGCUGGCACGGGAGGAAUGGAGGCAACUAUUCAUGGUCUGAAUACCAGACCAAGUUCUGCACUGACACUGGAGCCCAGAUUUGGGACGUACACCAGGAUUCUAUUCGUGGACUUUAACUUGACCUCCAAGACAUCCUUCAGGUUAUUGUACCUGCCUCUGCC